GGGCCCGCACAAGCGGUGGAGCAUGUGGUUUAAUUCGAUGAUACGCGAGGAACCUUACCAGGGCUUAAAUGUAAGUUGCAUGGAUCAGAGAUGAUCCUUUCUUCGGACCACUUACAAGGUGCUGCAUGGUUGUCGUCAGCUCGUGCCGUGAGGUGUCAGGUUAAGUCCUAUAACGAGCGCAACCCCUAUCGUUAGUUGCCAGCAAGUAAAGUUGGGUACUCUAGCGAGACUGCCGGUGCAAACCGAGAGGAAGGUGGGGAUGACGUCAAAUCAUCACGGCCCUUACGUCCUGGGCUACACACGUGCUACAAUGGCCGGUACAGAGAGCAGCCACCACGCGAGUGGGAGCGAAUCUUCAAAGCCGGUCUCAGUUCGGAUCGCAGUCUGCAACUCGACUGCGUGAAGCUGGAAUCGCUAGUAAUCGGAUAU
rnacentral:rRNA from 1 species